rnacentral:rRNA from 1 species
AUUUAAACCUAACAAGUAGUAUUAAAAUAAAAACAAACUUAUAUAGUUUGGCGGCAUUUAUCUUAUUAGAGGAGCCUGUCUAUUAAUCGACAACCCGCGAUAAAUUUUACUUUAUUUUAAAUCUUAUAUACCUCCGUCCAAAGAAUAAAAACAAAUCUUUUUUUCAAAAAAUUAAUAUAAAAAGACAGGUAAAGGUGUAGAAAAUAAUAAAGAUUAGAUGUGCUACACUAAAAAAAAUUUAAAGAUAAUUAAAUAUUUUUUUUUUGAAAAAGGAUUUAUAAGUAAUAAAUACCAAGAUAAUUUCUAUACAUGAACAARAUAAAAAAUGUG